UCGAGUUCUGAAACGGGUUGUUGCUGGCCUCUAACCGGGGCAUGUGCACGCCUGGCUCAUCCACUCUUCAACCUCUGUGCACUUAUUGUAGGUCGGUCGAAAGGCUUUGCGCUUCGGUGCUUAGCUUGGAAGCCUUCCUAUGUUUUACUACAAACGAUUCAGUUAUAGAAUGUUCAUUUGCGUAUAACGCAUCUAUAUA
rnacentral:misc_RNA from 1 species